CACUUUACAUAGUUGACUGCAAAUAUUUCAUACCUCAAUGGGGGUAAAAGAGACCCUUUUUUUCUGCCCACCAAGACCUCACAGUCUGGUAUUACCAAGCACCUGAAAGACGACAUGGGCAACCAGGAGGUUCCCAGCUUAGGAACGAUCUGGCUGGGAAGGCACAUGAAAAAACUUAAGGGCGUUUCCGCUGUGAUAAAGUCAUAGGCAGAUCUGAAAGCACCCGGAGGAAGAAACCAACAAACAAGAGGCAUUGAACUUCUGCAGUCACGGCUCAAGGACACCUACGGUGCAAGGUCAGCGGCUGUUGGCCCUUGGGGUGUCCGCCAGGCCCCUGCCGCCUGGGAGAAGGCUCCAAAGGCCGGCCAGGGCGCUUCCUGGGCAGAGAGAAGCCCACUGAGCCAGCCACGAAGGAGGCGGAUGCCAGUCUGGCCACCCUGGGAGGAGCCCCAGGCACACGGGCUCCACUGAGGCCUGUGAAGGGCUCCUGUGCCCGCAGAGGGCAGUGGGGCAGAGGCGGCGGCCAGAGGACCCCUCGUGCCUUGUGGCACCAUGGCCCCUGGUGUGGCACCUGCGUGGAAGGAAGGAUAGUCCUGUGGACCAGGUCUGCUCCCCACUCACCAAGGGCGAGGGGCAGCACCCUCAGUGAGGCUCUGAAGGCUCUGAGCUGCCCCAGCCUCUUUCAGGAUCCGUCCCAGAGCCAGAGCCAGGUUGAGAGUGGAGUGAAUUCAGAAGGGCCUCUUCUAAAAUUUGCUCUCGGUGGAAAAGAAAAUCCCAGUGGUUACCAGCCUGUCCUGAGGAAGAUGCAGUCUCCGCCGCGGAGUAGCUGGGUGACCUUGCGCAAGAAAUGUAACCUCUCAAAAAAGUCUUCGUUUGACUCACAUGCAAAGGGGCAAUAAAAAUACCUGCCACCUAGGGCCACCACUUGGACUAAAUGAGAUCAUGGAAGUGAAGUGCUUAGCACAGGCCUGGCAUGUGGCCAGCACCCGCAAAGGGCCUUUGUACUUGCCAGUCCCUCUCUCUGGAACAUUCUUUUAGAAAGCCCUGUUCCCUGACCUCCUAUAGGUCCCUUCCCUGGGUUAUCUGUCUCCAGAGGGCGUUCUAGUAUACUUCCACCACGAAUAUGUGGUCUUUUACCUUUUUAUCUUAUUUAUUAUUCGUCUUUCCCAAACCAGAGGGAGGGGAGCUCAGGGAGAAUAGAGAUGCGCGGGGGGGUUGCCUACUGCUGCGUCUCCACCUAGAACAGCGCCUCGCAUAGAGCAGGUGCUCAAUCAACAUUCUCUAAAGGAUAUGGUCAUGAUGGUGAGGACGAGAUCCGAGUGUUGAACGUGCCAGACGAACCCCCUGAUUUCAAGUUCAAGGUUGGCACUCCUACUAGAUCAUAAGCACCAUGGAUGCAGGAACGGCAUCUUACGUAACUGAACUCUCCAUAGAUAAGAUUGGAUAAUUUAGCAAAGAGAAAUACAGGACAUUCAACUAAAUUAAAAAAAAGAAAUUUUAGGAUAAGUAUAUCCCAAAUAUUGCAUAGGAUAUGCUCACAGGAAAAUAUUAUUAUUAUUAUUAUUAUUUUGUCUUUUUGCUAUUUCUUUGGGCCGCUCCCGCGGCAUAUGGAGGUUCCCAGGCUAGGGGUCUAAUAGAGCUGUAGCCACUGGCCUACACCAGAGCCACAGCAACGCGGGAUCCGAGCCGCGUCUGCAACCUACACCACAGCUCACAGCAACGCCAGAUCCUUAACCCACUGAGCAAGGGCAGGGACCGAACCCGCAACCUCAUGGUUCCUAGUCGGAUUCGUUAACCACUGCGCCACGACGGGAACUCCAGGAAAAUAUUAUUAUUCAUUGUUUAUCUAAAGUUAAAAUUUAACUGAUGGCCUAUAUUUUAUCCAGAAACUCUAUGCCUAGCCCUUAUGUAGAGUAGGUUCAAAAUAAGUAGUUGCUGCAUGAAUAAUAUACUCAAAUUCCAAUGAAAACAGUGUAAACCUGAAUGAAAGAGCAAGGUCAGGUCCAGCAGUGUGCCAGGAAUGUCUAACCAACGACUCGUCAAAUAAAAAACAAAGUGCUUGAAUUUAUGGUUGCCUAUUUCCAUGGUGUAAAGGCUCCCACCACGGCCUGUCUCAAGAUUGACACAUGAUUGAGUGCAGAAUUGGAAAGAGAAGACUGCAAUUGGUUUGACAAAUCCAGCAGAGCCAACUUCAGCACGGACUCCUGAAAGUCAGAGGAUUAAAGAAAGAGACAGUAAGCCAACAAGCAAAAUGAAAACUAAACCACACCAAGACUUGGCUGGCACGUCCUUAAAUACAUUAUCUCAACCUCACAACAAUUCUGUGAAGUGGAAAUGCUUAGUCCUGUUUUGUUAAACACAUGGGAAAAAAUGGGGUCCGAGAGAGUUUAAAAAUUGUCUCGUCACACAGCUAGUGAACCAAAUCAAAGUCCACCCUCUUUCCCCCCAAGCCAGUCUGCCUCUGCCAUCACUGGAUACAGAAGAGGAAACCAGAAGAAAAUCAGAAGAGCUGGGAGCAGACGCUGCCUUGAUGGAAGGUGGAUCUCCUUCUGAGCACGCAGCGCCCCAGUGUCACUCUUCUGUUCCUUCUCUUUUAUCUGCCCUUCUCUUUUAUCUGGAGAGUAUUUUGCCAGCCACACAAACAAAAGAUGAUGUUGAUUAUCGUAAGUAUAAAAACAAAUGGUGUUAGCUAAACAUCCCAUAACUUGAAGGGGAAAACUUGGGUUUCCCAAAGCCAAGAGCGCCCUACGGGAUGAGAAGGGCAGGACUUCACCCCUUCCUCCUCGAGGUGGGCAGCACGGGACCCGGAGAGGCAAGCAUGCCCUGAGAUUACCCAGCUUGCUGGAAACUCUGAAAGCAAAUGAGAGCCCUCAAGGCUCAUUAGACCUAUUUAUGCAGUUCUUCAGUGGGAAAAAUGAAAUCUUCCAAACACAGAUAAACACACCCCCGUGACAAGUGAACUAGCAAGUCACGUUUAAACCCCAGCUCCAACACUGACAAAUACACCACUUGAGCCCCCCCAGGCAAAAUAAACGUAUUUCUUUCUCUUGGGUUCCCUUUAGUUGGGAGAAAAGGGACACGGGCCUCUGUGUGUGGGGACAGAGGUGGGUGGGGAGUGGGGGGGAGCAAGCAGUGCUGGGAGGUGGAAAAAGCUCGCGAAGGUCACCCUCUCGGCCAGGUAGCCAAACCAGAGCCCCUCUCGCUGCCCUGCUGUGCCCAGGCCUUCUGCUGACCUUGAGGAUUUCCCAACCCAGCUGCACGGGCCACCAGCUGUCCUCCACAAUACUCGGAGACUCCAACAGCACCAAGCGACACAGGGCGCCCUCAAGAUGGCUCUCUGCCUGCCUCUCCCUCUGUAUUUCUCAACAGGACCUGUCUUUUCCAGGAAACUCUCCUUUUCUGGGAAAGGUUGGCAACAUCGGAGAAUGAUCCUGGCAGAACAUGGCCAGUCACACCCGAGGACCUCUGAGGAGAAAUAGAGAUAAGAGAGAAGAGAAGAAAGAAAAGGCUUUGGCUGAGUCUCGGGAGUCACCGAUGCUCCCUCCGUGGCAAUGGUGUGAUCCAGAGCUGCACACCCCCGGACCAUGGCCGCCGUCUGCAGGGGGCUGUUGAAAGGCGGCUGGCCUGAGAUGAGGGGUCUUGUAAAGGCAAAGUACACACUGUCUUUGGAAGGCUUGGUGCAAAAAAUAAAAAGAAUGCAAGCUCUAUAAAAUAGGUAAACGGCAAGGACCUAUUGCAACACUCAGGGAACGCUAUUCAGUAUUAUGUAAUCACCUGUAAUGGAAGAGAGUCUGAAAAAGAAUCUAUAUAGGUAGAAGUGAAUCACUUUACUUAAACACUUGAAACUAACACAACUGUGUAAAUUAACUAUAUUUUAAUUUAAAAAAAAAUACUAAGGAGGAGUUCCCUGGUGUCCUAGCAGUUAAAGGAUCCACCAUUGUCACUGCUGUGACACAGGUAGAAUCCCUGGCCAGGGAACUUCUGCAUGCUGUUGCCCCAGUCAAAUAAAUAAAUAAAUAAG
rnacentral:lncRNA from 9 species